rnacentral:rRNA from 1 species
CUACGGGAGGCAGCAGUGGGGAAUAUUGGACAAUGGGCGCAAGCCUGAUCCAGCCAUGCCGCGUGAGUGAUGAAGGCCUUCGGGUCGUAAAGCACUUUUCGGGAGGAUGAGGAAGGACAGUACUCCCGGAAUAAGUCACGGCUAACUACGUGCCAGCAGCCGCGGUAAAACGUAGGUGGCUAACGUUAUCCGGAUUUACUGGGCGUAAAGCGCGCGCAGGCGGCUUCGCAAGUCGGGCAUGAAAUCUCCUCGCUUAACGGGGAGAGGUUGUUCGGUACUGCGGGGCUUGAGGGCAGUAGAGGGUGGUGGAAUUCCGCAUGUAGUGGUGAAAUGCGUAGAGAUGCGGAGGAACACCAGUGGCGAAGGCGGCCACCUGGACUGCUCCUGACGCUAAAGCGCGAAAGCUAGGGUAGCAAACGGGAUUAGAAACCCUUGUAGUCC